UACGAAGGGGGCUAGCGUUGCUCGGAAUCACUGGGCGUAAAGCGCACGUAGGCGGAUUGUUAAGUCAGGGGUGAAAUCCUGGAGCUCAACUCCAGAACUGCCUUUGAUACUGGCGAUCUCGAGUCCGGGAGAGGUGAGUGGAACUGCGAGUGUAGAGGUGAAAUUCGUAGAUAUUCGCAAGAACACCAGUGGCGAAGGCGGCUCACUGGCCCGGUACUGACGCUGAGGUGCGAAAGCCAGGGGAGCAAGCGGG
rnacentral:rRNA from 1 species